rnacentral:rRNA from 1 species
GCAUAUCAAUAAGCGGAGGAAAAGAAACCAACAGGGAUUGCCUCAGUAACGGCGAGUGAAGCGGCAAAAGCUCAAAUUUGAAAUCUGGUUCGCCCGAGUUGUAAUUUGAAGAGGUUGUUUUGGAAGCGGCUCUUGUCUAUGUUCCUUGGAACAGGACGUCACAGAGGGUGAGAAUCCCGUGCGAUGAGAUGCCCGCUUCUAUGUAAAACGUCCUCGACGAGUCGAGUUGUUUGGGAAUGCAGCUCUAAGUGGGUGGUAAAUUCCAUCUAAAGCUAAAUAUUGGCGAGAGACCGAUAGCGAACAAGUACAGUGAUGGAAAGAUGAAAAGAACUUUGAAAAGAGAGUGAAAAAGAAUGUGAAAUUGUUGAAAGGGAAGGACUUGAGAUCAGACUUGGAGGAUUUAUCCUUCUGGGCCAGCAUCAGCUCGAGGGGCGGGAGAAUGGCGCAGGAAAGUAGCUCAUUGAGUGUUAUAGCCUGCGCUGAUGCCGCCACUUUGGGCUGAGGACUGCGGAAACAAGGAUGUUGGCAUAAUGAUCUUAAGUCGCCCGUCUUGAAACACGGACCAAGGAGUCUAACGUCUAUGCAAGUGUUUGGGUGUAAAACCCGUACGCGUAAUGAAAGUGAACGUAGGUGAGAGCAAUUGCGCAUCAUCGACCGAUCCUGAUGUCUUCGGAUGGAUUUGAGUAAGAGCAUAGCUGUUGGGACCCGAAAGAUGGUGAACUAUGCCUGAAUAGGGUGAAGCCAGAGGAAACUCUGGUGGAGGCUCGUAGCGGUUCUGACGUGCAAAUCGAUCGUCGAAUUUGGGUAU